GGGGCGAUCGGCCACAUUGGGACUGAGAUACGGCCCAGACUCCUACGGGAGGCAGCAGUAGGGAAUUUUGCGCAAUGGACGAAAGUCUGACGCAGCAACGCCGCGUGAGCGAUGAAGGCCUUCGGGUCGUAAAGCUCUGUUGGGUGGGAAGAAAUGUUUCGUGGAUAAUACCCACGAGAUUUGACGGUACCACUCGAGGAAGCCCCGGCUAAAUACGUGCCAGCAGCCGCGGUAAUACGUAUGGGGCAAGCGUUGUUCGGAAUCACUGGGCGUAAAGGGAGCGCAGGCGGAAAGGUAAGUUAGGAGUGCAAUCUACAGGCUUAACCUGUAGCUCGCUCUUAAUACUGCUUUUCUUGAGUAUGGGAGAGGGAGAUGGAAUUCCAGGUGUAGCGGUGGAAUGCGUAGAUAUCUGGAAGAACACCAGUUGCGAAGGCGGUCUCCUGGCCCAAUACUGACGCUGAGGCUCGAAAGCCAAGGGAGCAAACAGGAUUAGAUACCCUGGUAGUCUUGGCCGUAAACGAUGGACACUAGAUGUUGGGGGAGUUAUUCCUUCAGUGUCGUAGCUAACGCGUUAAGUGUCCCGCCUGGGGAGUACGCUCGCAAGGGUGAAACUCAAAGGAAUUGACGGGGGCCCGCACGAGCGGUGGAGCAUGUGCUUCAAUUCGAUGCAACGCGAAGAACCUUACCUGGGCUUGACAUGGGAGUGAAAGUUUCCAGAGAUGGGAUCCCUUCCUUCGGGAACACUCCACACAGGUGCUGCAUGGUUGUCGUCAGCUCGUGUCGUGAGAUGUUGGGUUAAGUCCCGCAACGAGCGCAACCCCUGCCCUUAGUUGCCAUCAGGUUAAGCUGGGAACUCUAGGGGGACUGCCUGGUACAACCAGGAGGAAGGUGGGGAUGACGUCAAAUCAUCAUGGCCCUUACGUCCAGGGCUAGACACGUGCUACAAUGGCCGGUACAACGGGCUGCGAACUCGCGAGAGUAAGCCAAUCCCUGAAAACCGGUCUCAGUCCGGAUUGGAGUCUGCAAUUCGACUCCAUGAAGUUGGAAUCGCUAGUAAUCGCGGAUCAGCAUGCCGCGGUGAAUACGUUCCCGGGCCUUGUACACACCGCCCGUCAAGCCACGAAAGAUGGUAGUACCCGAAGUCGCCUCUCUAACCGCAAGGAGGAGGGCGCCGAAGGUAAGACUGUUGAUUGGGGCUAAGUCGUAACAAGGUA
rnacentral:rRNA from 1 species